rnacentral:rRNA from 1 species
UACGGAGGAUGCGAGCGUUAUCCGGAUUUAUUGGGUUUAAAGGGUGCGUAGGCGGGUUAUCAAGUCAGCGGUAAAAUCGUGGAGCUCAACUCCAUCCAGCCGUUGAAACUGAUGAUCUUGAGUGGGCGAGAAGUAUGCGGAAUGCGUGGUGUAGCGGUGAAAUGCUUAGAUAUCAUGAAGAACUCCGAUCGCGAAGGCAAGUGUCCGGGGUGCAACUGACGCUGAGGCUCGAAAGUGCGGGUAUCAAACAGG